rnacentral:ncRNA from 1 species
GAGAAUCUGCCACCGGGUAGAGUAAUGCAAAAAGCAUUCGUUUGUACAUCAUUAGGUCUUAGUAGAUGUGUGUACGGAUGUUUCUUUUUU